GACGAACGCUGGCGGCGCGCCUAACACAUGCAAGUCGAACGAGGAGCUUGCUCCUAUAGCGAGUGGCGAACGGGUGAGUAACGCGUGAGGAACCUGCCUCAAAGAGGGGGACAACAGUUGGAAACGACUGCUAAUACCGCAUAAGCCCACGGCUCGGCAUCGAGCAGAGGGAAAAGGAGCAAUCCGCUUUGAGAUGGCCUCGCGUCCGAUUAGCUAGUUGGUGAGGUAACGGCCCACCAAGGCGACGAUCGGUAGCCGGACUGAGAGGUUGAACGGCCACAUUGGGACUGAGACACGGCCCAGACUCCUACGGGAGGCAGCAGUGGGGAAUAUUGCACAAUGGGGGAAACCCUGAUGCAGCGACGCCGCGUGGAGGAAGAAGGUCUUCGGAUUGUAAACUCCUGUUGUUGAGGAAGAUAAUGACGGUACUCAACAAGGAAGUGACGGCUAACUACGUGCCAGCAGCCGCGGUAAAACGUAGGUCACAAGCGUUGUCCGGAAUUACUGGGUGUAAAGGGAGCGCAGGCGGGAGAACAAGUUGGAAGUGAAAUCCAUGGGCUCAACCCAUGAACUGCUUUCAAAACUGUUUUUCUUGAGUAGUGCAGAGGUAGGCGGAAUUCCCGGUGUAGCGGUGGAAUGCGUAGAUAUCGGGAGGAACACCAGUGGCGAAGGCGGCCUACUGGGCACCAACUGACGCUGAGGCUCGAAAGUGUGGGUGGCAAACAGGAUUAGAUACCCUGGUAGUCCACACCGUAAACGAUGAUUACUAGGUGUUGGAGGAUUGACCCCUUCAGUGCCGCAGUUAACACAAUAAGUAAUCCACCUGGGGAGUACGACCGCAAGGUUGAAACUCAAAGGAAUUGACGGGGGCCCGCACAAGCAGUGGAGUAUGUGGUUUAAUUCGACGCAACGCGAAGAACCUUACCAAGUCUUGACAUCCCUUGACGAACAUAGAAAUAUGUUUUCUCUUCGGAGCAAGGAGACAGGUGGUGCAUGGUUGUCGUCAGCUCGUGUCGUGAGAUGUUGGGUUAAGUCCCGCAACGAGCGCAACCCUUAUGGUCAGUUACUACGCAAGAGGACUCUGGCCAGACUGCCGUUGACAAAACGGAGGAAGGUGGGGAUGACGUCAAAUCAUCAUGCCCUUUAUGACUUGGGCUACACACGUACUACAAUGGCGUUAAACAAAGAGAAGCAAGACCGCGAGGUGGAGCAAAACUCAGAAACAACGUCCCAGUUCGGACUGCAGGCUGCAACUCGCCUGCACGAAGUCGGAAUUGCUAGUAAUCGUGGAUCAGCAUGCCACGGUGAAUACGUUCCCGGGCCU
rnacentral:rRNA from 1 species